rnacentral:rRNA from 1 species
UACGUAGGGUGCGAGCGUUAAUCGGAAUUACUGGGCGUAAAGUGUGCGCAGGCGGCUCUGCAAGUCGAGUGUGAAAUCCCCGGGCUUAACCUGGGAACUGCGCUUCUAACUGGCAGGCUUGAGUGCGGCAGAGGGGGGGUGGAAUUCCACGUGUAGCAGUGAAAUGCGUAGAGAUGUGGAGGAACACCGAUGGCGAAGGCAGCCCCCUGGGCUAACACUGACGCUCAUGCACGAAAGCGUGGGGAGCAAACAGG